UAAAUGCGGAAGAGAUAAGUGCUGAAAGCAUCUAAGCACGAAACUUGCCCCGAGAUGAGUUCUCCCUGAGACUUAGAGUCUCCUGAAGGAACGUUGAAGACGACGACGUUGAUAGGCCGGGUGUGUAAGCGCAGCGAUGCGUUGAGCUAACCGGUACUAAUGAACCGUGAGGCUUAACCUU
rnacentral:rRNA from 1 species